GUCCAGACUCCUACGGGAGGCAGCAGUGGGGAAUAUUGCACAAUGGGGGAAACCCUGAUGCAGCGACGCCGCGUGAAGGAUGAAGUAUUUCGGUAUGUAAACUUCUAUCAGCAGGGAAGAAAAUGACGGUACCUGACUAAGAAGCCCCGGCUAACUACGUGCCAGCAGCCGCGGUAAUACGUAGGGGGCAAGCGUUAUCCGGAUUUACUGGGUGUAAAGGGAGCGUAGACGGCAUGGCAAGUCAGAUGUGAAAGCCCGGGGCUCAACCCCGGGACUGCAUUUGAAACUGUCAGGCUGGAGUGCAGGAGAGGUAAGUGGAAUUCCUAGUGUAGCGGUGAAAUGCGUAGAUAUUAGGAGGACCACCAGUGGCGAAGGCGGCUUACUGGACUGUAACUGACGUUGAGGCUCUAAAGCGUGGGGAGCAAACAGGAUUAGAUACCCUAGUACC
rnacentral:rRNA from 1 species